rnacentral:lncRNA from 13 species
AGUUAAGCUCUGAGGGAAUGGAGACAAUUAAGUGUGGAGGAAGAGGCUCACGUCAUGUCAUGUUUCCUCUUACACGUGGAUUCUAUUCAUUCAUCGUUUACUGAGCUCUGUGUCAGGCACUGUGCUAGAUGCCGGGGCUCCUGCGUAGAAGACAGGGAAAUAUUUACACUUGAAGAAAGAGUAAGAUGUUCCCAGGCAAAGGUGGUCAAGGAAGACAGUGCAGGCUGAGAAAGUUUGCUCGGAGUUUUGCGGCAUCUCCCAGGUCUUGGUUAUGCAUGGAGUCCAGGGUUGCAGGACCCAAAUAUGGCUGCUUCAGCUGGCCCAGGCUUUCCAGAAAUGUGAGGACAGUGAUCUCCCGACUCUUCCCCUGCAGCCUGUGGCAAAAACACAAAGUACACUUGAGACCAGGAAGUCCAAGGAGCCUUGCUCAUUCCUGGAAUAUACUAGGAAAAAUACAGGAUCAAGCCAAAGAGAUACAGGAGGAAAAAAAAGCUCAAUGCGGAAGCCAAAGCGCAAAUAAAGAAGCCUCAACUUAGACUCAAAAUAAAUGUGCAGAUUGAAGGAAGUGACUGCA